UGGGGGGAUAUUGCACAAUGGGGGAAACCCUGAUGCAGCGACGCCGCGUGAGUGAAGAAGUAUUUCGGUAUGUAAAGCUCUAUCAGCAGGGAAGAAAAUGACGGUACCUGACUAAGAAGCCCCGGCUAACUACGUGCCAGCAGCCGCGGUAAUACGUAGGGGGCAAGCGUUAUCCGGAUUUACUGGGUGUAAAGGGAGCGUAGACGGCUUUGCAAGUCUGAUGUGAAAGGCAGGGGCUCAACCCCUGGACUGCAUUGGAAACUGCAGAGCUUGAGUGCCGGAGGGGUAAGCGGAAUUCCUAGUGUAGCGGUGAAAUGCGUAGAUAUUAGGAGGAACACCAGUGGCGAAGGCGGCUUACUGGACGGUAACUGACGUUGAGGCUCGAA
rnacentral:rRNA from 1 species